GGCCGUGUGGCAAAAUGGUUACUGCGUUGCUUUCCGAUUAUCAUUGGUAGGCAGAGACUGUGGGUUCGAGUCCCACCAUGGUCG